GACGAACGCUGGCGGCGUGCUUAACACAUGCAAGUCGAACGAUGAAGCUGGAGCUUGCUCCGGUGGAUUAGUGGCGAACGGGUGAGUAACACGUGAGUAAUCUGCCCUUGACUCUGGGAUAACUGCGUGAAACUGUAGCUAAUACCGGAUACGACACCUUCGGGCAUCCGAUGGGUGUGGAAAGAAUUUCGGUCAAGGAUGAACUCGCGGCCUAUCAGCUAGUUGGGGAGGUAAUGGCUCACCAAGGCGACGACGGGUAGCCGGCCUGAGAGGGUGACCGGCGACACUGGGACUGGGAGACGGCCCAGACUGCUACGGGAGGCAGCAGUGGGGAAUAUUGCACAAUGGGCGAAAGCCUGAUGCAGCAACGCCGCGUGAGGGAUGAAGGCCUUCGGGUUGUAAACCUCUUUUAGUUGGGAAGAAGCGAAAGUGACGGUACCAACAGAAAAAGCACCGGCUAACUACGUGCCAGCAGCCGCAGUAA
rnacentral:rRNA from 1 species